AACAGUCUGCUGUGUGCGUGAUGUGAAAAUUGGGUAAUCCACAUUAUUUUGAAGGGAGCACCGCGUAGGCAAAAAUAGGCAAGGUCUGUAAAUUUUACGGAAAGUCCGAAUAUUUUUUGCCUCGUCGCACCCACCUCGCGAGUCGCGGGUUAGUACUUUUUCACACACGGCAUAAGCGGAUUUUAU
rnacentral:other from 1 species